UGAGGAAUAUUGGUCAAUGGGAGCAAUCCUGAACCAGCAAUGCCGCGUGUGGGAUGACAGGGCUUCGCCUUGUAAACCACUGUCGGACGGGACGAAAGGAGGCCUCGGGCCUCUGGGACGGUACCGUCAAAGGAAGGGUCGGCUAACUACGUGCCAGCAGCCGCGGUAAUACGUAGGACCCGAGCGUUGUCCGGAUUUACUGGGUAUAAAGGGUGCGUAGGCGGCCUUGUGCGUCAGAGGUGAAAUAUCCGGGCUUAACCCGGAGGGUGCCUUUGAUACGGCAGGGCUUGAGUGCGAGAGAGGAUGAUGGAAUUCCUGGUGUAGCGGUGAAAUGCGUAGAUAUCAGGAGGAACACCGGUGGCGAAGGCGGUCAUCUGGCUCGUAACUGACGCUGAGGCACGAAAGCGCGGGGAUCAAACAGG
rnacentral:rRNA from 1 species